UACGGGGGGAGCAAGCGUUGUUCGGAUUUACUGGGCGUAAAGGGCGCGUAGGCGGCGUAACAAGUCACUUGUGAAAUCUCCGGGCUUAACCCGGAGCGGCCAAGUGAUACUGUUGUGCUAGAGUGCGGAAGGGGCUACUGGAAUUCUCGGUGUAGCGGUGAAAUGCGUAGAUAUCGAGAGGAACACCUGCGGCGAAGGCGGGUAGCUGGGCUGUUCUUGACGCUGAGGCGCGAAAGCUAGGGGAGCAAACGGG
rnacentral:rRNA from 1 species